UGGGGAAUUUUGGACAAUGGGCGAAAGCCUGAUCCAGCAAUGCCGCGUGUGUGAAGAAGGCCUUCGGGUUGUAAAGCACUUUUUGUCCGGAAAGAAAUCCUUGGCUCUAAUACAGUCGGGGGAUGACGGUACCGGAAGAAUAAGCACCGGCUAACUACGUGCCAGCAGCCGCGGUAAUACGUAGGGUGCAAGCGUUAAUCGGAAUUACUGGGCGUAAAGCGUGCGCAGGCGGUUUGCUAAGACCGAUGUGAAAUCCCCGGGCUCAACCUGGGAACUGCAUUGGUGACUGGCAGGCUAGAGUAUGGCAGAGGGGGGUAGAAUUCCACGUGUAGCAGUGAAAUGCGUAGAGAUGUGGAGGAAUACCGAUGGCGAAGGCAGCCCCCUGGGCCAAUACUGACGCUCAUGCACGAAAAGCGUGGGGAGCAAAACAGGAUUAGAUACCCUGGUAGU
rnacentral:rRNA from 1 species